rnacentral:rRNA from 1 species
GACGGACGCUGGCGGCGUGCUUAACACAUGCAAGUCGAACGGAAAGGCCCUGCUUUUGUGGGGUGCUCGAGUGGCGAACGGGUGAGUAACACGUGAGUAACCUGCCCUUGACUUUGGGAUAACUUCAGGAAACUGGGGCUAAUACCGGAUAGGAGCUCCUGCUGCAUGGUGGGGGUUGGAAAGUUUCGGCGGUUGGGGAUGGACUCGCGGCUUAUCAGCUUGUUGGUGGGGUAGUGGCUUACCAAGGCUUUGACGGGUAGCCGGCCUGAGAGGGUGACCGGCGACAUUGGGACUGCGAUACGGCCCAGACUCCUACGGGAGGCAGCAGUGGGGAAUAUUGCACAAUGGGCGGAAGCCUGAUGCAGCAACGCCGCGUGCGGGAUGACGGCCUUCGGGUUGUAAACCGCUUUCGCCUGUGACGAAGCGUGAGUGACGGUAAUGGGUAAAGAAGCACCGGCUAACUACGUG